rnacentral:rRNA from 1 species
CCUACGGGUCGCACCAGUAGGGAAUCUUCGGCAAUGGACGAAAGUCUGACCGAGCAACGCCGCGUGAGUGAAGAAGGUUUUCGGAUCGUAAAACUCUGUUGGUAGAGAAGAACGUUGGUGAGAGUGGAAAGCUCAUCAAGUGACGGUAACUACCCAGAAAGGGACGGCUAACUACGUGCCAGCAGCCGCGGUAAUACGUAGGUCCCGAGCGUUGUCCGGACUUAUUGGGCGUAAAGCGAGCGCAGGUGGUUUAUUAAGUCUGGUGUAAAAGGCAGUGGCUCAACCAUUGUAUGCAUUGGAAACUGGUGGACUUGAGUGCAGGAGAGGAGAGUGGAAUUCCAUGUGUAGCGGUGAAAUGCGUAGAUAUAUGGAAGAACACCGGUGGCGAAAGCGGCUCUCUGGCCUGUAACUGACACUGAGGCUCGAAAGCGUGGGGAGCAAACAGGAUUAGAUACGCGUGUAGUC